CGACCGCUGGCGGCGUGCUUAACACAUGCAAGUCGCCCGGAAAGGCCCCUUUGGGGGUACUCGAGUGGCGAACGGGUGAGUAACACGUGAGUAACCUGCCCUUGACUUCGGGAUAACUUCAGGAAACUGGGGCUAAUACCGGAUAGGAAUCCUUGCUGCAUGGUGGGGGUUGGAAAGCUUCGGCGGUUUUGGAUGGACUCGCGGCUUAUCAGCUUGUUGGUGGGGUAGUGGCUUACCAAGGCUUUGACGGGUAGCCGGCCUGAGAGGGCGACCGGCCACAUUGGGACUGAGAUACGGCCCAGACUCCUACGGGAGGCAGCAGUGGGGAAUAUUGCACAAUGGGCGGAAGCCUGAUGCAGCAACGCCGCGUGCGGGAGGACGGCCUUCGGGUUGUAAACCGCUUUCAGCAGGGGCGAAGCUUGUGGUGACGGUACCUGCAGAAGAAGCACCGGCUAACUACGUG
rnacentral:rRNA from 1 species